rnacentral:rRNA from 1 species
CCUAACACAUGCAAGUCGAACGGUGCCUUCGGGUACAGUGGCAAACGGGUGCGUAACGCGUAAGCAACCUGCCUCAUACUGGGGGAUAGCCCGGCGAAAGCUGGGGUAAACCCGCACGGUCCCAAAGGGUCACCUGAUUUUUUGGGUAAACAUUUAUGGGUAUGAGAGGGGCUUGCGUCUGAUUAGUUAGUUGGCAGGGUAACGGCCUACCAAGACGAUGAUCAGUAGGGGUUCUGAGAGGAUUGGCCCCCACAUGGGUACUGAGAUACGGACCCAACUCCUACGGGAGGCAGCAGUAGGGAAUAUUGGGCAAUGGAGGCAACUCUGACCCAGCCAUGCCGCGUGAAGGAUGAAGGCGCUCAGCGUUGUAAACUUCUUUUAUCAGGGAAGAACUCUGGUCCUGCGGGGUCAGUUGACGGUACCUGAGGAAUAAGCACCGGCUAACUCCGUGCCAGCAGCCGCGGUAAU